AUGUUUUAGUCUGCUUUUAGAAAACUGGGAGUAUAAAUUAGAUUUUUUUUCAUGAAAUUUUUUUCAAAUAUAAUAAUCUGAAAAAUGCAAGUAGAAAUUUGGACAAAAUAUGCAUUUAAAUGUCUUACGUCUUUAAAGUUGUAGAACUUCCGCGAUACACUAAUAAUCGAGGAUUAUGCUGUGGCCAGUGGGGGAUUAUGUCAUAUCCAUAUAGGCGCGUGUUUUGUUAUCACAACCAGUAAACGAGGUCAUUCUGUUGCGUACUUUGGUCAAAGAAAGAGAAAGAUGGAGUCCCCUAGAAAUGAAAAUAAGCUGAAUGGAAUUUCGUUUUCAAGGAAGAAGAGUCCGAAGCUUACUUAUGCCGGAGAGUUCUGAUGAAUCACCAAAGAAAAGAAAAACUCAAAGUUCUAAUAGUGGCCUGGGUGCAGUGUAUUCGAAUUAUCAACAGUGCUCCUCAAAUAAAGAAAAUAAAAGAAAAAGAUUUUACUUUCUAUGAGUACCCACAGCAUCUUCAAGCAGAACAAUGGAUAUUGAUCAGACCAGACAGUCUGGAGAAUUUACCAUGAAUAGAAGUAACAAAAGUGACAGCAACACAUUCGAUUGGUUUAAUGGAUAUUUUGGACAGGAGUAGCAGACUGGUACAUUGAUUCCAAAAUCUUGAACAAACAACAACUGAACACAUUCUUGUCUCUUUUAAGUGGGAUAAUGUUAAUCUUUACAAAAUGCCAGCACAAUUGAAAUUAAUAUGGGAUAGUUGAAAGAAGAAAUUUCAAAAUGAUACAUAUUAUCACAAUGUUGAAUUUAGACAAUCUCUAUUUUUGUGAAACAGUUUUUUUUAAACUUUAAAUACUGUGAUGAUCUACAAAACAUUAUUAAAAGAUGAACAUGUAAGUCUCAAGUGUGAUCCAGUUUUUAACCGCUUUUCGCUUGAAAAAAAAUCAAGCUUUUUUAAAUUUAUGAAGUGACAACAAUUGUUUUUACUGGAUUUACAUUGAAUAAAUAAUAUUAUCCAGACAUUAAAAUAAAAAUGUUGAAAUUGA